UACAGAGGGUGCAAGCGUUGUUCGGAAUUAUUGGGCGUAAAGGGCGCGUAGGCGGUCGUGACAAGUCACUUGUGAAAUCUCCGGGCUUAACUCGGAACGGUCAAGUGAUACUGUCGGACUAGAGUACAGAAGGGGCAACUGGAAUUCCUGGUGUAGCGGUGAAAUGCGCAGAUAUCAGGAGGAACACCAAUGGCGAAGGCAGCUCGCUGGGACGGUACUGACGCUGAGGCGCGAAAGCGUGGGGAGCAAACAGG
rnacentral:rRNA from 1 species